rnacentral:Y_RNA from 1 species
GGCUGGUCUGAGUGUAGUAGUGUUUACAACUAAUUGAUCAAAACCAGUUGCAGAUUCCUUUGCUCCUUCUGCACUCCCAUUACUUCACCAGCCUAAA